UUGGUUUCACAGGGAAGAAUGAGAUUAUAAAUGGGAAGGCAGCUGUAAUUGGGUUCUUGCUGUUGUUGGAUUUUGAGCUAUUGACUAGUAAAGGACUUGGCAUUUGGUUUAUCACUUUCAGCACUGCUUGGGGAUAAUAUCUACAACUUUGGCGAGCUGCUGGCACAUCCUAUUAGUUAAUUUAACAGAUGGUCUUGAAGGGCUGGCUGGA